GCGGUUGUAACUUAACGGUAAAGUGCAAGAAUGUGGAUCUUGAAAAGGCGAUUCGAGUUCGCCCGACCGUA
rfam:Candidatus Hodgkinia cicadicola isolate TETTLN, complete genome.